GUCUUCUUGGUUUUAUAGGAAGUCUGACCUGCCCGGUGAAUAAGUAUUUAACGGCCGCGGUAUUUUGACCGUGCAAAGGUAGCAUAAUCAUUAGUCUUUUAAUAGAGGGCUGGAAUGAAGGGUUUGACGAAAUGCUUACUGUCUCAUUUAAUUUGAAAUUUGAAUUUAACUUUUUAGUUAAAAGGCUAAAUUGUUGUUGGAAGACGAGAAGACCCUAUAGAGCUUUAUAUUUUAAAAUUUAAAGAAUUUUUGUUCAAUUAUUAUUUUUUAAAUGGAGACUUAUUUUGUUGGGGUGACAAAAACAUAUAAUAAACUUUUUUAUUUAGAUAACAUUGAUUUAUGAAUAUUAGAUCCAUUAUUAUUGAUUGAUAGAGAAAGUUACCUUAGGGAUAACAGCGUAAUCUUCCUUCAGAGUUCAAAUUUACAGGAAGGCUUGCGACCUCGAUGUUGGAUUAAGAUAAUAAUUAGGUGUAGCCGCUUAAUUAAUAGGUCUGUUCGACCUUUAAAUUCUU
rnacentral:rRNA from 1 species